CUCUGAUCUCACUGCGCAGCUUUUUAAUUCACACACCGGCUGCUUUUUGGACUUUUUGCACCAAAGCGGGACUCUGCUCUCUUUCUGCCCUCCAGGCACCAUUCCCAUCACUGGAAUUACUGGCUUUUACCCGCUGCAGCCUGAAAAACAACUAAAUCUAUUGAUUAUUUUGAAAUUCAACAUUAUUAUUCAUCGGCUAUUCCAGGGACAAAUUUCAGGAUUCACUUCAACUUCCAUUCUUAUUGAAUGUAUGCAUGAGAGCAAUGGCAUCAUUCAUCUGAGAGCUCGUAGGUAUUUAGCAAUCGACUCUGAUGGUCUAUAAUCAGGUUUGUCUCAUACGGACUUUUUUUUUAUAAGGCAAUGGAAAGAUUAUUAGAUCAAACACGAAUAAGCAGCGCGGUAACUGUGAAAACCAUCAGUGCCGUCCGAGGCAUGUUUGGCUCAUGUGGACACUGAUCCUGUCCUGGGAUCUUCUGAGCUGUUCCCCUGGAAACCGCUGGACAGGUCCGUGCGUGACGUCGUUGCCUCGUCUCGGAGGUGAGAGGGAUCUCGGUCAUCCUUCACAAGUUGAGCUGUAAGUCGGCUUGGAGAGACUCCUCGGAAACAAGGGGGGUGUUAUAAAGAAUACGCUGAAUAUUAAGAUCUUGAAAGGAAGCCAAGGAGAGCCCCCCUCAAGCAAACGCCAAGACAGAGAAUCUGUUUUGGAAUUAUAGUGCCGAGCUCAUUCUGAACCGUCACCAAACAGGACCCGGGCCCAAACCAAGGGAGGUGGACUGGAGCGAAGACACUGACAGAGAACAGGACGUUUUCCCUCUAAAUCAGAACCAAACUAACAAAAACCAACAUUUCACAUUAAAGCUGACAUCAAUUUAGGCUGAAUACCACAAUCAAGUCACAUACUCCAAUUUCUAAGUUGACUUUGAAGAAAGGAGCUCGCUCUGAGCGAGCCGAGAUGAUGACCAUGAUGAUGAUGAUGACGGUCACCUGCAGCGCUCUCUUCCUGCUGGGUCUUGUCACAGCCCAAGCUUCCUCCUCUACAUCUUCAUCCUCCUCCUCUUCUGCCUCCUCCUCCUCCUCCU
ensembl:lncRNA